rnacentral:rRNA from 1 species
AGCGAACGCUGGCGGCAGGCCUAACACAUGCAAGUCGAGCGGCCGUAGCAAUACGGCAGCGGCAGACGGGAUAGUAACACGUGGGAACGCGCCCUUCGGUUCGGAAUAACUCAGGGAAACUUGAGCUAAUACCGGAUACGCCCUUACGGGGAAAGAUUUAUUGCCGAAGGAACGGCCCGCGUCGGAUUAGCUAGUUGGUGAGGUAAUGGCUCACCAAGGCGACGAUCCGUAGCUGGUCUGAGAGGAUGACCAGCAUCACUGGGACUGAGACACGGCCCAGACUCCUACGGGAGGCAGCAGUGGGGAAUAUUGGACAAUAGGGCGCAAGCCUGAUCCAGCCAUGCCGCGUGGAUGAUGAAGGCCCUAGGGUUGUAAAGUCCUUUUAACGGGGAAGAUAAUGACGGUACCCGUAGAAUAAGCCCCGGCUAACUUCGUGCCAGCAGCCGCGGUAAU